GACGAACGCUGGCGGCGUGCUUAACACAUGCAAGUCGAACGGAAAGGCCCUGCUUUUGUGGGGUGCUCGAGUGGCGAACGGGUGAGUAACACGUGAGUAACCUGCCCUUGACUUUGGGAUAACUUCAGGAAACUGGGGCUAAUACCGGAUAGGAGCUCCUGCUGCAUGGUGGGGGUUGGAAAGUUUCGGCGGUUGGGGAUGGACUCGCGGCUUAUCAGCUUGUUGGUGGGGUAGUGGCUUACCAAGGCUUUGACGGGUAGCCGGCCUGAGAGGGUGACCGGCCACAUUGGGACUGAGAUGCGGCGCAGACUCCUACGGGAGGCAGCAGUGGGGAAUAUUGCACAAUGGGCGGAAGCCUGAUGCAGCAACGCCGCGUGCGGGAUGACGGCCUUCGGGUUGUAAACCGCUUUCGCCUGUGACGAAGCGUGAGUGACGGUAAUGGGUAAAGAAGCACCGGCUAACUACGUG
rnacentral:rRNA from 1 species